AGUUUACAACUCCCAAACCCAAUGUGAACCAUACCAAACUGUUGCCUCGGCGGGGUCACGCCCCGGGUGCGUCGCAGCCCCGGAACCAGGCGCCCGCCGGAGGGACCAACCAAACUCUUUUCUGUAGUCCCCUCGCGGACGUUAUUUCUUACAGCUCUGAGCAAAAAUUCAAAAUGAAUCAAAACUUUCAACAACGGAUCUCUUGGUUCUGGCAUCGAUGAAGAACGCAGCGAAAUGCGAUAAGUAAUGUGAAUUGCAGAAUUCAGUGAAUCAUCGAAUCUUUGAACGCACAUUGCGCCCGCCAGUAUUCUGGCGGGCAUGCCUGUCCGAGCGUCAUUUCAACCCUCGAACCCCUCCGGGGGGUCGGCGUUGGGGAUCGGGAACCCCUAAGACGGGAUCCCGGCCCCGAAAUACAGUGGCGGUCUCGCCGCAGCCUCUCCUGCGCAGUAGUUUGCACAACUCGCACCGGGAGCGCGGCGCGUCCACGUCCGUAAAACACCCAACUUCUGAAAUGUUGACCUCGGAUCAGGUAGGAAUACCCGCUGAACUUAAGCAUAUCAAUAAGCGGAGGAAAAG
rnacentral:rRNA from 1 species